rnacentral:misc_RNA from 1 species
GCCUACUGUUUAAUUUUGAGGGUUCGUUUUUACGAAUACUCAAAAGUAGCACUUUAAGCAACAGAAUAAACUGAACGCAUGUGAAGUUUGUUUGUUGGCGCUGUGUGUUAGCACUUUGAGCAACGGGAUUUAUCCGUUGGCGCUGUGCUUUAGCACUUUAAGCAACGGAAUUUAUUCGUUGGCGCUGUGCAUUAGCACUUUGAAAACUGCAUAUAUAUAUUUAGUGAUAUGGCAUCUAAUUUGUAAUAUAAAGCUGAUAACUUUUUAAAAUUAUCGAAGUUGAUAGCUUCUAAUCUAUCAAACCUUUUUAACUGGUCAA